rnacentral:rRNA from 1 species
UACGUAGGGGGCUAGCGUUGUCCGGAUUUAUUGGGCGUAAAGAGCGUGUAGGCGGCCAGGUAGGUCUGCUGUGAAAACUCGAGGCUCAACCUCGAGACGUCGGCGGAAACCAUCUGGCUAGAGUCCGGAAGAGGAGAGUGGAAUUCCUGGUGUAGCGGUGAAAUGCGCAGAUAUCAGGAAGAACACCAAUAGCGAAGGCAGCUCGCUGGGACGGUACUGACGCUGAGGCGCGCAAGCGUGGGGAGCGAACAGG